rnacentral:rRNA from 1 species
UACGUAGGGUGCAAGCGUUAAUCGGAAUUACUGGGCGUAAAGCGUGCGCAGGCGGUUUUGUAAGUCUGUCGUGAAAUCCCCGGGCUCAACCUGGGAAUGGCGAUGGAGACUGCACGGCUCGAGUGCGGCAGAGGGGGAUGGAAUUCCGCGUGUAGCAGUGAAAUGCGUAGAUAUGCGGAGGAACACCGAUGGCGAAGGCAAUCCCCUGGGCCUGCACUGACGCUCAUGCACGAAAGCGUGGGGAGCAAACAGG